GCUCACUUUGGGAGCACACAUACUAAAAUUAGAAUGAUACAGAGAAAAUUAGCAUGGCCUGUGUGCAAGAAUGACAUGCAAAUUCAUGAAGCAUUCCAUAAUUUU